CGGCAGAACAAAAAUAGAACAUCAAUCCAUCUGAACAGGUGGAACAACUUUUACAGGUCCUUACACAUGAUGUGGUAGGUGGAAUAAGUUCCACCUGACAACAGCAAAACAUCCUUCCCUUCAUGCUGAACCUGAAGCAAGCUGUGUGAAGAGCAUGUCAGGAACACUUCCUGUCAUGGAGAUGGCAGAGUAGGGAUCAGUUGGUCCUACUUGACUGGCUUUAGCAUGGUGUCGUUCCUGGGCUCUGGUAUUGGCCUGACAAUGUGCAGUAUUCACUUGGCCUUCUUCAUCAGCUUGCCAAACUCCCAUUGUUUGCUCUGGUAAAUAUUAUCUUUUGUCAAUAAAACUCAGGGAAUGAUCCCCGCAGUCUUUUCCCGGGCGCUCCACCAGACAACUACCCGUACUAAAUGUCUGGCAUUUUGAUACCAUGUAUCCAAACACGGCCUUAAAGUAAAAAGGGUCAAUGUUUUGUAUUGAGCUAAAACUUCAUGAGAAGAUCGCACGGAUAUCUCCUAAUCAUGGCUUUUACUUCACACCUAAAAGGGCGAUGCAAGCAGCCGGCGGGUUAACAGGUUAGGUUCACAGGGAAUACAGGGAAGAUCGCAGCAGAGGCGCAUGUUCUGUUCUCUCUUUUCUCUGGCAAAAGACAUCAGUUGAGACUGUACUUGGGCAGGGAAGACUCUAGUUGACGAGCGUAUUGCAUCGCACCCAGAAGACCAGGCAUGCAUGAGAGGGCGAGAUUAAUCCAUUCACAUCAUCGAAGUGGCAAGGUCAUCGUCUGGUUCUGGUGUGAGAGAUUGACGAAACCAUGCAUCCACUCGUCGCAGCGAGAAAGGGGCCUACAUCAACAGCAUCAACAUAUAGCACACUAUCUUUUGAGACUUUGAUCUCAAGGAGACGAGAAGGGACGAACUCAGGCUGGUCUCCACUGGCAAUGAUUUUUUCAACAUACAGGGGCUCCCUGCCCAUGCGCC